UACGGGAGGCAGCAGUGGGGAAUAUUGCACAAUGGGCGAAAGCCUGAUGCAGCUAUGCCGCGUGUAUGAAGAAGGCCUUAGGGUUGUAAAGUACUUUCAUCGGGGAGGAAAAAAGCAAAACUAAUAAUUUUAUUUCUUGACGUUACCCGAAAAAGAAGCACCGGCUAACUCCGUGCCAGCAGCCGCGGUAAUACGGAGGGUGCUAGCGUUAAUCAGAAUUACUGGGCGUAAAGAGCACGUAGGUGGUUUUUUUAAGUUCAGAUGUGAAAUCCCUGGGCUUAACCUAGGAACUGCAUUUUGAAACUGAAAUACUAGAGUAUCGUAGAGGGAGGUAGAAUUCUAGGUGUAGCGGUGAAAUGCGUAGAUAUCUGGAGGAAUACCUGUGGCGAAAGCGGGCCUCCUAAACGAAUACUGACACUGAGGUGCGAAAGCGUGGGGAGCAAACAGGGAUUAGAUACC
rnacentral:rRNA from 1 species